GAUUUUCGCAAUGCCCGAAAGGGUGACGGAGCGACGCCGCGUGAGUGAGGAAGGCCCUCGGGUUGUAAAGCCCUGUCAGGAGUUAAGAAAUGUAGAUACGCUAAUAUCGUAUCUAUUUGACAAAGGCUCCAAAGGAAGCCACGGCUAACUCUGUGCCAGCAGCCGCGGUAAUACAGAGGUGGCAAGCGUUGUUCGGAAUUAUUGGGCGUAAAGAGCACGUAGGUGAAUUUGUAAGUCAGAUGUGAAAGCCUUCUGUUCAACGGAAGAAUUGCAUCUGAAACUACAAACCUUGAGUAUAGGAGGGGAGAAUGGAACUUCUGGUGGAGCGGUGAAAUGCGUAGAUAUCAGAAGGAACGCCGGCGGCGAAAGCGAUUCUCUGGCCUAUUACUGACACUCAGUGUGCGAAAGCUAGGGGAGCAAACGGGAUUAGAUACCCCGGUAGUCCUAGCCGUAAACGAUGGGCACUAAGUAGAGGGG
rnacentral:rRNA from 1 species